rnacentral:rRNA from 1 species
UGGGGAAUUUUGGACAAUGGGCGCAAGCCUGAUCCAGCCACGCCGCGUGUCUGAAGAAGGCCUUCGGGUUGUAAAGGACUUUUGUCAGGGAAGAAAAGGCUGUCGCUAAUACCGACAGCUGAUGACGGUACCUGAAGAAUAAGCACCGGCUAACUACGUGCCAGCAGCCGCGGUAAUACGUAGGGUGCGAGCGUUAAUCGGAAUUACUGGGCGUAAAGCGAGCGCAGACGGUUACUUAAGCAGGAUGUGAAAUCCCCGGGCUCAACCUGGGAACUGCGUUCUGAACUGGGUGACUAGAGUGUGUCAGAGGGAGGUAGAAUUCCACGUGUAGCAGUGAAAUGCGUAGAGAUGUGGAGGAAUACCGAUGGCGAAGGCAGCCUCCUGGGAUAACACUGACGUUCAUGCUCGAAAGCGUGGGUAGCAAACAGGAUUGGAUACCCUGGUAGUCCACGCCCUAAACGAUGUCAAUUAGCUGUUGGGCAACUUGAUUGCUUAGUAGCGUAGCUACGCGUGAAAUUGACCGCCUGGGGAGUACGGUCGCAAGAUU